rnacentral:lncRNA from 12 species
GCCCACCCGCCCUUCCUGGAGUUCCGCGCCCCGCCUUGCUUCCUCCAGGAGCCCUGCCCUUUUCCUCCUUCCUCCGGAUCCCUGUCCCACCGCCAGUGUGUAUGCUCCUUCCUCUUUCCUCCCGGGGCCCCGCCCCCUUCCUCCUUCCUCCGGGAGCCUCGCCCCACCGCCAGCCUUCCUCCCGCAGCCCCUCCCCUUUCCUCCCGUAGCCCUGCCCCCUCCUUCCUCCUCCUGGAGCCCCGCCCCACCGCCGGCCUUUCUCCGGAGCCCCGCCUCCCCGCCAACCCCUGUCCUCCUUCCUCCCGGAGCAUUGCUCCUUUUUUCCUAUUCCGGAGCCCCGCCCCCCGCCAAUCCCUAUCCUCCUUCCUCCCGGAGCCCCGCCCUCUCAGCAAUCCUGUCCUUCCUCCUCCCAAAGCCCCGCCCCCCGCCAAUCACUGGACGCCUUUCUCCCGGUGUCCGGCCCUCCUGCCUAUCUCUAUCCUUUUUCCUCCCGAAGUCCCGCCUCACCACCAAUCCCUGUCCUCCUUCCUCCUAGGGCCCCGCCCCACCGCCGGUCUUCCUCCCGAGCCCCGCCCCACCGCCAAUCCCUGUCUUCCUUCUUCCCGGAGCCCGGCCCCCGGCCAAUCCCUGUCGUCCUUCCUCUGGAGCCCCGCCCCCCGCCUGUUCCUGUUCUUCCUCCUGGCCCCCAGCCAAUCCCUGUCCUGCUUCCUCCCGGAAGCCCGGCCCCCCGCCAAUCCCGGUGCUCCUUCCUCCGGAGCCCCGCCGCACUGCCCAUCCGUGGGCCUUAAACCCGCGCGCCCAGCGCUGCGUCUCGCGAGAACUUGGCGGCCAGUGGUACAGUCCGUCCCCCCCGCGGGCCCCGGACGGUGGGCCCUUCCGGUCGUAGAAAAGCAUUGUGGGAGCGGCGCGCGGCCCUUCCUGUCUCUGCGCCCGGGGUGGCGGGCGGGUUGCGGCCGGGCAGGGCGGCUGGACGGAGACUCCGGCGCCACGAGUCCCGGGCCCGCAGCCGCACGGCCGGGCCCGGCCACGUGGUCCGCGGGCCGCAGGAGGUCCCGGGGUAGGGGGGGACGGCGGGUCUGGCGCGCACGGGCAGGAGCGCCGCGGAGCGUGGGGCGCCGCAGGGAGUCCGCGGAGAGGAGAGGCGGGGCGAGCUGA